rnacentral:rRNA from 1 species
CUUGGACUCUGUCUACUUAUGCCUCGUGAUGAAAAUUUAUUUUAAAAUGAAUGUAAUGGAUGUAACACAUCUAAUACUAAGUUUCAACAACGGAUCUCUUGGCUCUCGCAUCGAUGAAGCGUCCGUGAUAGUCGCUUAAGUAAUGUGAAUUGCAGAAUUCAGUGAAUCAGGCUCGCUGAGAACGCACCUUGCGCUCCUUGGUAUUCCUUGGAGCAUGCCUGUUUGAGUAUCAUGAAAUCUUCAAAGUCAAACCUUUUGUUAACUCAAUUGGUUCUGCUUUGGUAUUGGAGGUAGCGUCCGUGAUCACACCUGCUCCUCUUUGUGCAUUAGCUGGAUCUCAGUGUUAUGCUUGGUUCCACUCAGCGUGAUAAGUUAUCUAUCGCUGAGGACACCAGUCCGUGAUAGUGUGGCCAAGGUAAAUGCAGAUGAACCGCUUAGCCUCGUGAUAUCACUUGGACAAAUAUUAAUUUUAUGAUCUGAUCUCAAAUCAGGUAGGCACUAUGCGCUCGCUCGUAGAUGCUCGUCGUAGAUGCUCGCUGAUGAUAGUC